GAUCCUGGCUCAGGAUGAACGCUAGCUACAGGCUUAACACAUGCAAGUCGAGGGGGCAGCGGGAAGUCAGCUUGCUGACUUUGCCGGCGACCGGCGCACGGGUGAGUAACACGUAUCCAACCUUCCCGUUACUCUGGAAUAGCCUUUCGAAAGAAAGAUUAAUACCGGAUAGUAUCGAGAGAUUGCAUGAUUACCCGAUUAAAGAUUCAUCGGUAACGGAUGGGGAUGCGUUCCAUUAGGCAGUUGGG
rnacentral:rRNA from 1 species